ACAGAGGGUGCAAGCGUUAUUCGGAAUUACUGGGCGUAAAGCGCGCGUAGGUGGUUUGUUAAGUUGGAUGUGAAAGCCCCGGGCUCAACCUGGGAACUGCAUUCAAAACUGACAAGCUAGAGUAUGGUAGAGGGUGGUGGAAUUUCCAGUGUAGCGGUGAAAUGCGUAGAUAUAAGAAAGAACACCGAUGGCGAAGGCGACCCCCUGGACUGAUACUGACGCUGAGGCGCGAAAGCGUGGGGAGCAAACAG
rnacentral:rRNA from 1 species